UCAUUCGGAUUCGCCAUCAUACGUCCAACCGUGCAUUUGGUAUGCAUAUAUAUGCAUCACGAGCCACGGUUGGGUUGUAUGAUGGCGAUACCGAUUAG
rfam:Triticum urartu cultivar G1812 contig1355970, whole genome shotgun sequence.